rnacentral:rRNA from 1 species
UGGGGAAUCUUGCACAAUGGGGGAAACCCUGAUGCAGCGACGCCGCGUGGACGAUGAAGCCCUUCGGGGUGUAAAGUUCUUUCGACAGGAACGAUAAUGACGGUACCUGGAGAAGAAGCUGCGGCUAACUACGUGCCAGCAGCCGCGGUAAUACGUAGGCAGCGAGCGUUGUUCGGAGUUACUGGGCGUAAAGAGUGCGUAGGCGGCGAGCCAAGUUUGGUGUGAAAUCUCCCGGCUUAACCGGGAGGGUGCGCCGAAAACUGGUUGGCUGGAGUAUGGGAGAGGAAAGCGGAAUUCCUGGUGUAGCGGUGAAAUGCGUAGAUAUCAGGAGGAACACCUGCGGUGUAGACAGCUUUCUGGACCAAAACUGACGCUGAGGCACGAAAGCGUGGGUAGCAAACA